GCUGUCCGGGGAAGCAGCGGCUCCCUGUAUCCGCAAUCCGCUACAGCGGGGGAGACCGGCCGCCCCCGGGAUGCGCCGUGUAUAGCGUCCGGACUGUGAGGCUUAUGACCGGGCGGUCCCGCGCAACGAGAGCCCCCGAACCAUGUCAGGCGGGGAACCGAGCAGCAUUAAGAGGUGUCUUUCGUGUGCCGCGGGAGCGCCGCCCGCGAGGUUUUCGCUUUG
rnacentral:SRP_RNA from 1 species